GACGAACGCUGGCGGCGUGCUUAACACAUGCAAGUCGAACGAUGAAGCCGGAGCUUGCUCUGGUGAAUUAGUGGCGAACGGGUGAGUAACACGUGAGUAACCUGCCCUUGACUCUGGGAUAACUGCUAGAAAUGGUAGCUAAUACCGGAUACGACCCUCGGUGGCAUCACCAGGGGGUGGAAAGAAUUUCGGUCAAGGAUGGACUCGCGGCCUAUCAGCUAGUUGGUGAGGUAACGGCUCACCAAGGCGACGACGGGGAGCCGGCCUGAGAGGGUGACCGGCCACACUGGGACUGAGACACGGCCCAGACUCCUACGGGAGGCAGCAGUGGGGAAUAUUGCACAAUGGGCGCAAGCCUGAUGCAGCAACGCCGCGUGAGGGAUGACGGCCUUCGGGUUGUAAACCUCUUUUAGCAGGGAAGAAGCGAAAGUGACGGUACCUGCAGAAAAAGCACCGGCUAACUACGUGCCAGCCGCCGCCGUAA
rnacentral:rRNA from 1 species